rnacentral:rRNA from 2 species
UUUAUGGAGAGUUUGAUCCUGGCUCAGGAUGAACGCUGGCGGCGUGCCUAAUACAUGCAAGUCGAGCGAACAGAUGAGAAGCUUGCUUCUCUGAUGUUAGCGGCGGACGGGUGAGUAACACGUGGGUAACCUACCUAUAAGACUGGGAUAACUCCGGGAAACCGGGGCUAAUACCGGAUAAUAUUUUGAACCGCAUGGUUCAAUAGUGAAAGACGGUUUCGGCUGUCACUUAUAGAUGGACCCGCGCCGUAUUAGCUAGUUGGUAAGGUAACGGCUUACCAAGGCGACGAUACGUAGCCGACCUGAGAGGGUGAUCGGCCACACUGGAA